GCAAAGAGUGGCGAACGGGUGAGUAACACGUGGGAAACCUACCUCUUAGCAGGGGAUAACAUUUGGAAACAGAUGCUAAUACCGUAUAACAAUGACAACCGCAUGGUUGUUAUUUAAAAGAUGGUUCUGCUAUCACUAAGAGAUGGUCCCGCGGUGCAUUAGCUAGUUGGUAAGGUAAUGGCUUACCAAGGCGAUGAUGCAUAGCCGAGUUGAGAGACUGAUCGGCCACAAUGGGACUGAGACACGGCCCAUACUCCUACGGGAGGCAGCAGUAGGGAAUCUUCCACAAUGGGCGAAAGCCUGAUGGAGCAACGCCGCGUGUGUGAUGAAGGGUUUCGGCUCGUAAAACACUGUUGUAAGAGAAGAAUGACAUUGAGAGUAACUGUUCAAUGUGUGACGGUAUCUUACCAGAAAGGAACGGCUAAAUACGUGCCAGCAGCCGCGGUAAUACGUAUGUUCCAAGCGUUAUCCGGAUUUAUUGGGCGUAAAGCGAGCGCAGACGGUUAUUUAAGUCUGAAGUGAAAGCCCUCAGCUCAACUGAGGAAUUGCUUUGGAAACUGGAUGACUUGAGUGCAGUAGAGGAAAGUGGAACUCCAUGUGUAGCGGUGAAAUGCGUAGAUAUAUGGAAGAACACCAGUGGCGAAAGCGGCUUUCUGGACUGUAACUGACGUUGAGGCUCGAAAGUGUGGGUAGCAACAGGAUUAGAUACCCUGCUAGUCCACACCGUAACGAUGAGUGCUA
rnacentral:rRNA from 1 species